GAGAGGCUUGAAGCAAUAAGGACUGCUAACCCCUACCCCCAUGGUUAA
rnacentral:tRNA from 3 species